rnacentral:rRNA from 1 species
AGUGAACGCUGGCGGUAGGCCUAACACAUGCAAGUCGAACGGCAGCACAGUAAGAGCUUGCUCUUACGGGUGGCGAGUGGCGGACGGGUGAGGAAUACAUCGGAAUCUACUUUUUCGUGGGGGAUAACGUAGGGAAACUUACGCUAAUACCGCAUACGACCUACGGGUGAAAGCAGGGGAUCUUCGGACCUUGCGCGAUUGAAUGAGCCGAUGUCGGAUUAGCUAGUUGGCGGGGUAAAGGCCCACCAAGGCGACGAUCCGUAGCUGGUCUGAGAGGAUGAUCAGCCACACUGGAACUGAGACACGGUCCAGACUCCUACGGGAGGCAGCAGUGGGGAAUAUUGGACAAUGGGCGCAAGCCUGAUCCAGCCAUGCCGCGUGGGUGAAGAAGGCCUUCGGGUUGUAAGGCCCUUUUGUUGGGAAAGAAAAGCAGCAGGUUAAUACCCCGCUGUUCUGACGGUACCCAAAGAAUAAGCACCGGCUAACUUCGUG